rnacentral:lncRNA from 1 species
UCAAGUAAUAGUGAGGAAUUUUCUACACUGAUGUUUAACAUUUAAACAUAAUUUCCUCUACCACCAAAAUACCCUUACUGGACUGGUAUUAAGAUCACAUGCCAUAAAAAUUGCAUCAUGGUGCUAGUAUUCUUGACCAGACCAGAGAUGUUUCCUUGAGGAAUAAACUUGUGUUUACUCUACUUAUCAACCUUUUUCUCAUCUCUGCAUAUUUUCACCAUCUGGAAUAUUCUUUAACCUGGCGCAGAAAAAAAUUGGGGAAGGGGAUGGCUAUUUAAAAAUAAAUGUAUGCUUUACCCUACAGUUAUUUUGAAUUAGUCUUGAUAAAUAAUUAAGGAAUGCAUAAUAUAUUAUUUAGAUGCCAUGGUCUUAAGAAUUUGAGUGGUAUUUCAAGUACAAUUAUAGUCAUUUAUUUAUCAGUAGAAAAUUUACAUAAUCACACUUCAAAAUCCAGUGGACUGGAGAGAUAUCAGAAAGACACCCAUGAAUGUGGUAAUGACUCUGAGCAUUAGAUUAAGUUAAUAAUGUAUUGAUGCACAUGAUAUUCUAAUAUCUAGCACUGCAGUAUUUGAUCACUUAAAAUGAUAAAAGCAUAAAUAUUUUUCUCUUUUCAAACUAUAUUUUAUACAGAAGGGUUCUUCAUAGUAUAAAAAGCAAUUUGAAAAAUCGAAAUUGAAUUAGACAAUCUCUAAUAAAAUGGAGCUAGUUAAGUUGAACUUAAAUAAAGUCAAAUUUCUAUUUCUAUUGGGCAAGGAAAUAAUUUUGUCAUAAUAAUAAUGAUCAGUUAGCAUAAAUUACUGUUCAUUUUGUUUUGAACUGACAAUAUAGACCUUAAGGCCGAAGUCCAGAAAAAUGACAGAAAUUCAAGUCCUCUCUCUUGUCAGUGAGCACAGCAUGCAAAUGAAGGGAUUACCUAUCCAAAAAGGUAACACACUUUCUGUUAGCUCAGUCAUGCUAUGGGUUCUUCCUUAGCAGCUAGUCCAUCUGAGACAAAUUUGGCAGAAAUAUAUGCAGUAUUUGUACUAUGCUGUUUGAAUCACUAGAGUCCCAUGUCAUAUCUGCAAACUCAGAUUUUGGACUAUAAUUGAGCAUGAGACUUGAGUGUGAAAACCUAAGCUACUCAGCAAUUUCUAACUUUAUUUGGGGGCAGCUAAACUUGUUAUUUUUUAUAUUAAUCUAAGUACCUACAAAUUGUCAUAAGUUACUUCAUAAAACAAUGCAAAUAUAAAUCCCUCAAUUAAUUCCUAUUUCCUUGUUGUCUAGAUAUUUUCCCUACCAGAAUCACUCAAGUGGCAUGUACUACAGACCCUAAAGAUGAAGAUCUGUCAAAUUACUUUUCUUCCAUUCUUUUCAAAGCCACUUGUCAUAAAUUUGUCAUGGUGAUAACUUCAUAUUUAAAGCUCCUAAACAGUUUUCAAACUAUUCCAGACUGUUCAACAUCCUCAGCUUCAGAUUCCUGUCAGCCAGUGCUAAUUCAACUUUGUAUAGAGAUCAUAUACUUCCAGGAUAAUUCAUUAAAAUGAUAUAUAUUGAGUAGCUUCUAUGUACAAACUAUGUGCUUUCUAAAAUUAAGGCCUAAAAUCCAUUAUUUGAGCUCCUCUCAAAGACUGUUAAAUUCAUACGACAGUUUCAGGUACCUUCAUAAUUCUCGCUGAAUUAAAAAUAAGGACUAAGUACACUUUUAUUAUUACUAUACAAGAGAUCUAGUCCUGACAGGAAGUAAGUGCAUAGAUUCUGAAUUUCAAUGAUAUUAAAUCUAUUAUUGUCUUCAUGAAGGCAUUACCUCCAAAUAAAUUAUAGUAAGUUUUUUCUCAUUAGACCAGGGUCGAUAAAUGCAUAAAUUAAUUAUAUUUGAGAUAUUUAUUCAGGGAAAAUAUUUCUUAAUCAUACUUGCUAGAAAUCCUUCAAUUCCAGUACAUUUCACUCAUAUUUAUAUAUGUGUGUGUAUGGUUACAUAUGUAGAUUAUGGCUUUUCCCCUAUGAGACAAAGAUUUGAGAGAUAUCCUGGGUGAUCUGUAAAUCAUUUUUGUGGACUGACUCAGAGAAAGUGUUUAUUAUUAUUAUUAUUAUUAUUAUUAUUAGCACACUUUCCUUUUCCCAAGUGGUUCAUUUACAAGUUUUCGCCAAUUAUUAUAGUGAUUAGCAUCUAUAGUUAUUUCCAGUCUCCCACUAGCAAUUAUAUAAGACAUAAACAUUUUAACCUUGUCAAGUAUGAACUCAAAACUAAAAAAGACCCAAAAAAAAAAAAAAAAAAAAAACCCUCCAAGAGCCAGGUUGCAGUUAAAAUGCUCCUGAUAGCUUGUUUUCCCAGGGCCAGUGACUAUGAAGAGAAACUCUGAGAACACAAGAUAUCCGUCAGACAGCUACUUAGUGAGACAGAACCAAAUGAAUAUUGUUAGGUGAGUGUUUUAAUAACGCAGCAUUUUCGAAGCAUUUUCCCAAGAUUAUUUCUAAUUGGCCCUGUCAUAAAGUAGUCGAAAACUGCCUUAAAACAGUAAUCAGUUUGAAACCAGUUGAGCAAGCCUAUGACAGGAAGUUGUUAAUAAUAUGCUUCGAAAUUUACCUGUGAAAUA